CUCUCAAUAGCUCAGUUGGUUCAGAGCGUUCGGCUGUAAUUGUUACUGACACCGAAAGGUCACUUGUUCGACUCAGGUUUGAGAGA